rnacentral:rRNA from 1 species
UACGUAGGGUGCGAGCGUUAAUCGGAAUUACUGGGCGUAAAGCGUGCGCAGGCGGUCUGCUAAGAGAGGUGUGAAAUCCCCGGGCUUAACCUGGGAACUGCGCUUCUAACUGGCAGGCUAGAGUGUGGCAGGGGGGGGUGGAAUUCCACGUGUAGCAGUGAAAUGCGUAGAGAUGUGGAGGAACACCGAUGGCGAAGGCAGCCCCCUGGGCUAACACUGACGCUCAUGCACGAAAGCGUGGGGAGCAAACAGG